AACGAACGCUGGCGGCAUGCCUAACACAUGCAAGUCGAACGAGACCUUCGGGUCUAGUGGCGCACGGGUGCGUAACGCGUGGGGAGUCUGCCCUUUGUCUUCGGAAUAACAGUUAGAAAUGACUGCUAAUACCGGAUGAUGUCGUAAGACCAAAGAUUUAUCGGCAAAGGAUGAACCCGCGUAGGAUUAGCUAGUUGGUGGGGUAAAGGCCUACCAAGGCGACGAUCCUUAGCUGGUCUGAGAGGAUGAUCAGCCACACUGGGACUGAGACACGGCCCAGACUCCUACGGGAGGCAGCAGUGGGGAAUAUUGGACAAUGGGCGAAAGCCUGAUCCAGCAAUGCCGCGUGAGUGAUGAAGGCCUUAGGGUUGUAAAGCUCUUUUACCCGGGUAUGAUAAUGACAGUACCGGGAGAAUAAGCUCCGGCUAACUCCGUGCCAGCAGCCGCGGUAAGGCACGACUGU
rnacentral:rRNA from 1 species